rnacentral:rRNA from 1 species
AUACCGCAUAAGCCCACGGCUCGGCAUCGAGCAGAGGGAAAAGGAGCAAUCCGCUUUGAGAUGGCCUCGCGUCCGAUUAGCUAGUUGGUGAGGUAACGGCCCACCAAGGCAACGAUCGGUAGCCGGACUGAGAGGUUGAACGGCCACAUUGGGACUGAGACACGGCCCAGACUCCUACGGGAGGCAGCAGUGGGGAAUAUUGCACAAUGGGGGAAACCCUGAUGCAGCGACGCCGCGUGGAGGAAGAAGGUCCUCGGAUUGUAAACUCCUGUUGUUGAGGAAGAUAAUGACGGUACUCAACAAGGAAGUGACGGCUAACUACGUGCCAGCAGCCGCGGUAAAACGUAGGUCACAAGCGUUGUCCGGAAUUACUGGGUGUAAAGGGAGCGCAGGCGGGCGAUCAAGUUGGAAGUGAAAUCCAUGGGCUCAACCCAUGAACUGCUUUCAAAACUGAUUGUCUUGAGUAGUGCAGAGGUAGGCGGAAUUCCCGGUGUAGCGGUGGAAUGCGUAGAUAUCGGGAGGAACACCAGUGGCGAAGGCGGCCUACUGGGCACCAACUGACGCUGAGGCUCGAAAGUGUGGGUAGCAAACAGGAUUAGAUACCCUGGUAGUCCACACCGUAAACGAUGAUUACUAGGUGUUGGAGGAUUGACCCCUUCAGUGCCGCAGUUAACACAAUAGUAAUCCACCUGGGGAGUACGACCGCAAGGUUGAAACUCAAAGGAAUUGACGGGGGCCCGCACAAGCAGUGGAGUAUGUGGUUUAAUUCGACGCAACGCGAAGAACCUUACCAAGUCUUGACAUCCUGCGACGGACAUAGAAAUAUGUUUUUCCUUCGGGACGCAGAGACAGGUGGUGCAUGGUUGUCGUCAGCUCGUGUCGUGAGAUGUUGGGUUAAGUCCCGCAACGAGCGCAACCCUUAUGGUCAGUUACUACGCAAGAGGACUCUGGCCAGACUGCCGUUGACAAAACGGAGGAAGGUGGGGAUGACGUCAAAUCAUCAUGCCCUUUAUGACUUGGGCUACACACGUACUACAAUGGCGUUAAACAAAGAGAAGCAAGACCGCGAGGUGGAGCAAAACUCAGAAACAACGUCCCAGUUCGGACUGCAGGCUGCAACUCGCCUGCACGAAGUCGGAAUUGCUAGUAAUCGCAGAUCAGCAUGCUGCGGUGAAUACGUUCCCGGGCCUUGUACACACCGCCCGUCACACCAUGAGAGCCGGGGGGACCCGAAGUCGGUAGUCUAACCGCAAGGAGGACGCCGCCGAAGGUAAAACUGGUGAUUGGGGUGAAGUCGUAACAAGGUA